GUGUCCAGGGAUGGGAAUCGAACCCACAGUGUUCCGCUUACUGGGCAGAUGCCAUGUCCACUAGGCA